GCCGGGCGCAGUGGCGCACGCCUACAAUCCCAGUGGCUUGGGAGGCUGAGGCAGGAGGAUUGAGAGUUCAAAGCCAGCUUCAGCAAUUUAGUGAGGCUCUAAACAACUCAUUGAGACCUUGUCUCUA
rnacentral:sRNA from 1 species